AAAAUACAAAGACCAAAAUGUGGGUUUAAGAACAAGUCUAUUCGUACACGAAAAGUUCGCUUCAAGGCUCAUGACAAGACUCAAAGGAGAAAGAAAGCGGUUUUCACACAGGUGCAGUCCGAAAUCGCCUUAACGCAAAGCUGAACGAAGAAAUCAAUUCAUCGAGACGGUUUAACAACUUUAAUUCGUUUGUAAGUAGAAUUAAACGCUAAAGUCGUCUGGACAGUUAUUUCGUUUUACGACUGUCUUUAUCCUUACGACCAUUUGAGAGACGCAUAAAAAAAAUCCUUCUUAA